GAAAUGCGAUAAGUAAUGUGAAUUGCAGAAUUCAGUGGAUCAUCGAAUCUUUGAACGCAGCUUGCGCUCCUUGGUAUUCCUUGGAGCAUGCCUGUUUGAGUAUCAUGAAAUCUUCAAAGUAAAUCUUUUGUUAACUCAAUUGGUUUCUACUUUGGUAUUGGAGGUCUUUGCAGCUUCACACCUGCUCCUCUUUGUUCAUUAGCUGGAUCUCAGUGUUAUGCUUGGUUCCACUCGGCGUGAUAAGUUAUCUAUCGCUGAGGACACUGUAAAAGGUGGCCAAGGUAAAUGCAGAUGAACCGCUUCUAAUAGUCCAUUGACUUGGACAAUACUUUUAUGAUCUGAUCUCAAAUCAGGUAGGACUACCCGCUGAACUUAAGC
rnacentral:misc_RNA from 1 species